AACGAACGCUGGCGGCGUGCCUAACACAUGCAAGUCGAACGGAACCAGGGGGCUUGCUCCUUGGUUUAGUGGCGCACGGGUGAGUAACGCGUGGAUAAUCUGCCCUGGUAUCCGGGAUAACAUUUCGAAAGGAGUGCUAAUACCGGAUAAGCCCACGGGGUCUUCGGACCUUGCGGGAAAAGGUGGCCUCUGAAUAUGCUACUGUAUCAGGAUGAGUCCGCGUCCCAUUAGCUAGUUGGCGGGGUAAUGGCCCACCAAGGCAUCGAUGGGUAGCUGGUCUGAGAGGAUGAUCAGCCACACUGGAACUGAGACACGGUCCAGACUCCUACGGGAGGCAGCAGUGGGGAAUUUUGCGCAAUGGGGGAAACCCUGACGCAGCAACGCCGCGUGAGUGAUGAAGGCCUUCGGGUCGUAAA
rnacentral:rRNA from 1 species